AUAGGUUGUGCUCCUUCUUACUUCCCUAACAGCUGUGAUGUAUGAAUGCCAUAAAAAUGAUGUUUGUGCAGGAAAUUAUAAGCUUUCCUGUUGGCGUAAAUCCGUAAGCGUAUAUGCCGUAGAUAGCUUCUGCAAUGGAAGGGUCAGGAUCUAGUCGGAGUCAUGGCAAGAGAGAUGCUGAUGACGGUGUUGAUGCUAGGAGCAGUUGGAAAGAAGAUGAUGAACAUGACGAUGUUGAAGACAGAAAAAAUCGAUCUGGCAAUUCAACAAGGAAUCGAUCUGUGCUGAAGGAGGUGAUGAGGAUGACUAUGAUGUAGGAAGGGAAUCACGAGUAUCCAAGGUUCCAAGGAGAAGCCCAGAAGAGAGAAGUAAGAGGAGAUCGUCAAAUCGGUACAAGGACAGAGAUGGGGAGAGCAGCAUGAGGAGAAGAGAGGGUGAUGAUGAUUGGGAUUCUUCAAGAAGAUCUAGCUCCAGAACUUCUGGUCAUGAUGUCUCUCGCAGUAAAAGCAGGUCCUCUGAUCGGGCCAGUUCUGAUAGAGCUGAUACAAGAGAUAUUAGGUCCUCUGCUGAUCAGAGCAAGAACAGGAGUACAAUAGAGGCUCAUGAUUACAGGGAUGAAUUGAGUGAAGGAUGGGAAGACAAUGAGAGGAGAACAGACUCUGCCAGAACGGACAAAAAUUAUCAAGAUAGACAAUCAAUUGAUCCAAGGUAUGACACUGGAUCACCUCAAGCUAGAGAUGAUAGGAUAGUUAGUUCUGUUGAUAGUAUUAGACAACACACAUUGCAUUACAGUGCAAAGUCUAAAGAGAGUGAUGAGAAACACAUAGGUCGAGUGGAAGGUACAUGCAGAAUUAGUGAUAAUGUAGAAACAAAAGAUAUGCUGCCUUAUGUAGAUGAGGAUGGGAAUGCACUGUCAAGGGAUGAAAGUAACAGAGAUAGACAUCACCGAGGAAACGAUGAUGAUGAUCAAGGUCAUUCGGAUUCAGAUAAUGAAAGAAGCAUAAGCAUGAAAGAAAAGAUAAGAUUGGAUGCUCAUGGAGAUUAUAAGUCCUAUAGAGGGAGGGACAGAAAUAGAGAAUUUGAAGGAUCUAAAGAACACUGGGGGAGUCGUCAAAGGCAUGAUUUGAAGGAGCCAAAUGACUAUGGACAGGAAAGGUUAGAUGGUGGGAAUUUCCAUGGAAGGUCCGGGUAUAGGAAAGAUUCCAGGGGCAGAUAUGAGAGCAGCAAAGGCCCUUCAUCAUAUGGGAAUCGAUAUGACAGUUCUGAUUCAAUAGAAAUUCGACCUAAUAGGAACCUUGAUUUUGGAAGGGAGGGCUCUGUUUCUGGAAGAAGAAUCAACAUGGGAUCCCUUCAGGACUUAACACCAGGAAUAAGAGAUCCAUCUGAGGACGCACAGGAGAGAUACUAUGAUGAUGCUCAAAACAUGGAUGAUAAAAUUCCUCAUGAUUCUCAAAGUGGGAGGGGAGUACCACAAGGAGCAAUGACAUCCAAUAAUUCAGGAGCUGGUCAAAGUGGCAGCGGGAGUAUAAUUUCUCCUACUCCUCAGCAAGGACCAAAAGGCAGUAGACCUUCUAGAGGUUUGCGAGGGAGGCCAAAUGCGAGGGACCCUCAAAGAACGGGAGUACCGAUGCCAUUGAUGCCGCCUCCACCAUUUGGACCUCUUGGUCUUCCACCAGGCCCUAUCCAACCAAUUGGACCAAACAUGUCCCAUUCUCCUGGUGCUCUUGGACCUGGUGUUUUCCUUCCACCAUUUCCUGGGCCUCUUGUUUGACCUGGAGCAUGGGGCAUUGAUGUGAAUAUGCUUUCUGUUCCAAGCAACCUUCCUAUUCCUCCACUAGCUGGGCCUAGUUUCACCCCCAGUGCUGCGGCUGGCCCCAACCAUAGCAUUCACUUAAAUCAUACAGGCUUUGGGUUAGGAUCUCCAGCGAAUGCACAAGGAUCUUGUUUCAAUCCAAUGUCUACUCCAAAUCGUGAAACACUACAUGAUAAACCACCUGCGGGUUGGACGCCACAGCGGGGGCCUGCUGGAAAAGCUCCUUCACGGGGUGAACAAAAUGAUUACUCACAGAACUUUGUGGAUACUGGCAUGCGGCCUCAGAAUUUUAUCAGAGAAUUGGAACUUACAAGUGUAGUGGAGGACUAUCCUAAGCUUAGAGAACUCAUACAGAGGAAAGAUGAGAUUGUUUCUAACUCGGCUUCAGCACCAAUGUACUACAAGUGUGACCUGAAAAAACAUGUGCUUUCCGCAGAAUUUUUUGGCACAAAAUUUGAUGUUAUUCUUGUAGAUCCUCCAUGGGAAGAAUAUGUUCAUCGUGUUCCUGGUAUCACAGAUCAUAUAGAGUAUUGGACCCCUGAUGAGAUUAUGAACUUGAAAAUUGAGGCCAUAGCUGAUACACCCUCAUUUAUCUUCCUCUGGGUUGGUGAUGGUGUUGGUCUUGAACAGGGCCGCCAAUGCUUGAAGAAGUGGGGAUUUCGUAGGUGUGAGGAUAUAUGUUGGGUAAAAACCAACAAGAAAAAUGCAACACCAGGUCUGCGCCAUGACUCUAAUACAUUGUUGCAGCAUUCCAAGGAGCAUUGCUUGAUGGGCAUAAAAGGAACUGUCCGGCGCAGCACUGAUGGGCAUAUUAUCCAUGCAAAUAUUGACACUGAUAUAAUAAUAGCUGAGGAAGCUACUGAUGGUUCAACAAAAAGCCAGAAGACAUGUAUAGGAUCAUCGAGCAUUUUGCUCUUGGAAGGAGGCGGCUCGAACUCUUUGGCGAGGACCAUAAUAUCCGUCCGGGUUGGCUAACUCUUGGAAAAGGUUUAUCUUCAUCAAACUUCCAUAAAGAGGCAUACAUCAAGAACUUCAUGGAUAGGGAUGGAAAAAUAUGGCAGGGAGGCGGUGGACGGAAUCCACCUCCAUAUGCUCCUCAUCUUGUCGUGACAACUCCAGAGAUCGAGAGCCUCCGUCCCAAGUCAACCCCACAAAAGAGCCAGCAGCAAUCCAUGCCUCCAAUGGGAUCUAGCAGUUCUACAAGCAGGCAGUCUGUCAUGAACUCACAGAAUGUGGUAACUGUUGUCGGCUCUGAGACAAUGAUGCCAGCAACAUGGUCUUCCACCCCAAUGCCAGGUUUUGGUAUACCUGAAUAGUUUUGUUCAAAGGAAACCAUUCGUUUAUUCCUACACGAUUUUCAUUAUUGAUGUGUACAUUCACUUUUUGCAUGACAGAUGCGUUAAUAAUUAUCUUGUAUCAUCAAUCAUCCACUAGGCUGCAAUUGGGCCCUUUUCAAA